UACGUAGGGUGCGAGCGUUAAUCGGAAUUACUGGGCGUAAAGCGUGCGCAGGCGGUUAUGCAAGACAGAUGUGAAAUCCCCGGGCUCAACCUGGGAACUGCAUUUGUGACUGCAUGGCUGGAGUGCGGCAGAGGGGGAUGGAAUUCCGCGUGUAGCAGUGAAAUGCGUAGAUAUGCGGAGGAACACCGAUGGCGAAGGCAAUCCCCUGGGCCUGCACUGACGCUCAUGCACGAAAGCGUGGGGAGCAAACGGG
rnacentral:rRNA from 1 species